UUUGCUGCUAUUUUUGGAUGCGAUAAAAGUUAUCCUGUUACUAUUUUGGGAUGCGGUUGAAGGCAUUUUGGUGCUGUUUUUGGAUGUUGCUAAAGCCAUUUUUGCUGUUGUGAUUAGGCACAAUUACAACUAUAUGUGCAAAGAUAGACAAUAUUUUAAAAGAUGUCAAUGCAAAUACUUUUGUUGCACUGCAAAGGAGAAGAACAAUUAUAGUAUGGAGAA